rnacentral:tRNA from 1 species
GGGGGGUUCGGUUAGUGGAAAGCCGCCAGUCUCUGAAGCUGGCUUCGGGCGUUCGAUUCGCUCACCCCCUGCCA